UACGUAGGUGGCAAGCGUGUCCGGAUUUAUUGGGUUUAAAGGGUGCGUAGGCGGCCCUGUAAGUCAGUGCUGAAAUAUCCCAGCUUAACUGGGAGGGUGGCAUUGAUACUGCGGGGCUAGAGUACAGAUGAGGUAGGCGGAAUUGACGGUGUAGCGGUGAAAUGCUUAGAUAUCGUCAAGAACACCUAUAGCGAAAGGCAGCUUACUAGGCUGUAACUGACGCUGAGGCACGAAAGUGUGGGGAUCAAACAGGGAUAGAUA
rnacentral:rRNA from 1 species